AUACGGAGGGGGCUAGCGUUGUUCGGAAUUACUGGGCGUAAAGCGCACGUAGGCGGUUUGCCAAGUCAGGCGUGAAAUCCCCGGGCUUAACCCGGGAACUGCGCUUGAUACUGGCAGACUAGAGGCCGGGAGAGGGUAGUGGAAUUCCCAGUGUAGAGGUGAAAUUCGUAGAUAUUGGGAAGAACACCGGUGGCGAAGGCGGCUACCUGGACCGGUUCUGACGCUGAGGUGCGAAAGCGUGGGGAGCAAACAGGAUUAGAAACCCCAGUAGUCC
rnacentral:rRNA from 1 species